rnacentral:hammerhead_ribozyme from 1 species
AUUUAGCUGACGAAUCUCAAAUAGGACGAAACGCACGUCCUGAAU